GACGAACGCUGGCGGCGUGCCUAAUACAUGCAAGUCGAGCGGACAGACAGGGAUUUUGUCCCCUAUACGAGCGGCGCACGGGUGAGUAACACGUGUGCAACCUGCCCUUAACUCUGUGAUAACUUCUGGAAACCGGGGCUAAUACCGGAUAAUACAUUUUGACUCAUGUUGUACAAUAGAAAGAUUCGGUUGUCUUGCACUUACUAGAUGGUUCGCGGCGCAUUAGCUAGGUUGUGAGGUAACGGCUUACCAAGGGAACGAUGCGUUGCCGAACUGAGAGGGUGAUCGGCCACACUGGAACUGAGACACGGACCAGACUCCUACGGGAGGCAGCAGUAGGGAAUCUUCCGCAAUGGACGAAAGUCUGACGGAGCAACGCCGCGUGAGUGAUGAAGGUCUUCGGAUCGUAAAACUCUGUUGUUAGGGAAGAACAACUAUCGAAGUAACUGUAGGUGGCUUGACGGUACCUAAUCAGAAAGCCACGGCUAACUACGUG
rnacentral:rRNA from 1 species